GAGCUAAAGCAGCACAUAUACUAAAAUGGGAAUGAUACAAGGAAGAUUAGCAAGGCCCCUGCACAAGGACAACAGGCAAAUUGGUGAAGCAUUGCCUGGAUUG